GACGAACGCUGGCGACGUGCUUAACACAUGCAAGUCGAACGGAAAGGCCCUGCUUUUGUGGGGUGCUCGAGUGGCGAACGGGUGAGUAACACGUGAGUAACCUGCCCUUGACUUUGGGAUAACUUCAGGAAACUGGGGCUAAUACCGGAUAGGAGCUCCUGCUGCAUGGUGGGGGUUGGAAAGUUUCGGCGGUUGGGGAUGGACUCGCGGCUUAUCAGCUUGUUGGUGGGGUAGUGGCUUACCAAGGCUUUGACGGGUAGCCGGCCUGAGAGGGUGACCGGCCACAUUGGGACUGAGAUACGGCCCAGACUCCUACGGGAGGCAGCAGUGGGGAAUAUUACACAAUGGGCGGAAGCCUGAUGCAGCAACGCCGCGUGCGGGAUGACGGCCUUCGGGUUGUAAACCGCUUUCGCCUGUGACGAAGCGUGAGUGACGGUAAUGGGUAAAGAAGCACCGGCUAACUACGUG
rnacentral:rRNA from 1 species